rnacentral:rRNA from 1 species
AUUGAACGCUGGCGGCAUGCCUUACACAUGCAAGUCGAACGGUAACAGGUUAAGCUGACGAGUGGCGAGCGGGCGAGUAAUGUAUCGGAACGUGCCCAGUCGCGGGGGAUAACUGCACGAAAGAGCAGCUAAUACCGCAUACGACCUGAGGGCGAAAGCGGGGGAUCGGAAGACCGCGCGCGAUUGGAGCGGCCGAGAUCAGAUUAGGUAGUUGGUGAGGUAAAGGCUCACCAAGCCGACGAGCUGUAGCGGGCCUGAGGGGAGGACCAGCCCCCCUGGGCCUGAGCCACGCCCCAGACUCCUACGGGGGGCAGCAGUGGGGAAUUUUCGACAAGGGCGGAAAGCCUAAUCCAGCCCUCCCGCGUGCGGGAAGAAGGCCUUCGGGUUGUAAACCGCUUUUGUCAGGGAAGAAAAGGUUCUGGCUAAUACCUGGAGCUCAUGACGGUACCUGAAGAAUAAGCACCGGCUAACUACGUG